AUUAAUUGAGGAAUCUUAAGGCUGCUCGUCAUGCUUUGAAUUGUUGUUUGUCCUUUAUAGUGAAUGUUAGUAAAGGUGUGAUGGCAGGGGUAGGUGCAUGGGAUGGAAAUGUUCAAGGUUUGGUAUGUUGGAUGAGAUGUGAAAGGGUGGCGCUUCUGUUCAAUUUUCUUGGCCUUCCUUGGGGGAAAACUCGAAGGCCACAACUUUUCUGAGACAUGAUUUUUAAGAGGACGGAAAAGAUGGUUACUUUUUGGAACAAAACGUAGUUAUCAUUAGCAGGUAGAAUUACUCGAAUUAACUGUUAUGAAAUUUCUGUCAUACUCCCUCUGUUCCAUUUGCUGGUGAAUAUGGCAAAAAGAUGGAUCAUAUUAUCUCUC